CCAUCACAAUGCUUUGUUUUAAUUAAACAGUGGAAUUCCCCAUGUUUGUACGACUUCUAAGUUGGCUAUUUGACGCUCGGGGAAGGCCCUCGAAGGAGCCGUUCUCAGUCCGUCCCUUUAAAGGGAUCGCUCCACCAACUAAGAACGACCAUGCACCACCACCCAUAGAAUCUCGAAAGAGCUCUCAGUGUGGUAAGAGUGUUUCACUCUCUAGAGAGAAUUCUCUUGAUUCUCUCUAGAGUGUCAGGCCAAAAUGAGUUCUCUCAUUGAUUUUCACCAGUGAACGAAGAAUUCAUUUUGACCCACUGAAAAGUCUUCACGUUUUUUUACUGAUUUUAGCGAUUGAGAACUCUUUCGAGAUUUUAUGGGUGGUGGUGCAUGAUCGUUUUUAGUUGGUGGAGCGAUUUGUCUGGUUAAAUAAUGCCUACAAGGAAUCGGCGGAUGUUGUUUUUAGGACUCCGACGGCACCUUUUGAGAAAUCAAAGUCUUUGGGUACCGGGGGGAAGUAUGGUCGCAAGGAUGAAACUUAAAGGAAUUAACGGAAGGACAUCACAAGGAGUGGAGUUUGCGGCUUAAUUUGAAU